GUAUUGUUUGCAACUGAGGGAGCAACAUCACCUGGCUGAGCUGAGGUUCAUAACAUCCUGAAGUUCAAAUGGAGUUAGAUUCAGUACUGCCCUGAGGACCUCAGAAGAAAGCAAGACAUCUGAGAUCAACUAGAAAGGGCAGGAGCAUGUGGAAAAUCUAGGGAGCUGCUGGUUCAGAUGAAGUGUGAAGGAAUCAAAUAGGAGACAUAUGCCCCACCCCUGAAAAAGAACAGGGAAUCGCAGACACAGAGGAGAUGGGAAGAAUGUGCGGGAUUUUUCAGCCUCUGAAGGUAAAUCCUUAAGGGACUUUAAGGAGCCUUGCCUUGCCUUUCCUUACCUUCUCCAAAUCAUCCACAAAGCUGGAGAAAAGCUGGUCAUUUGGGGGAAUGGGCAGGAAAAGAAUAGGACACAGGAAGAGAAUUGUCAUUAAGCAGAGAAAAACCUAAGAGCACUACAGACUCUAAGGAGAAGAUGGAACAGAGUCCAACUACCUUUCUUAAGAAUGUUACAGUAACACUGAAACAGGAAAAGGAGUUUCCUCCCAGAUGAAGGCAAGUAUGGGAUAUGCAUUGUGCCAGAAGAUGAAGCUAAAGGAAGGCCUCUUACUGGCACAAUCCCUAUGCUCUUCCCUGGGCCCUGCUACA